CAAGCCGACGAUCUAUAGCUGGUCUGAGAGGACGAACAGCCACAUUGGAACUGAGACACGGUCCAGACUCCUACGGGAGGCAGCAGUGAGGAAUAUUGGGCAAUGGAGGCAACUCUGACCCAGCCAUGCCGCGUGAGUGAAGAAGGUUUUCGGAUUGUAAAGCUCUUUCGGGUGUGACGAUGAUGACGGUAGCACCUAAAGAAGCCCCGGCUAACUUCGUGCCAGCAGCCGCGGUAAUACGAAGGGGGCAAGCGUUGUUCGGAAUUACUGGGCGUAAAGGGAGUGUAGGCGGUUAUGUAAGAUAGUGGUGAAAUCCCAGAGCUUAACUUUGGAAUUGCCAUUAUGACUAUGUGGCUAGAAUUACAGAGAGGAUAGUGGAAUACCCAGUGUAGAGGUGAAAUUCGUAGAUAUUGGGUAGAACACCAGUGGCGAAGGCGACUAUCUGGCUGUAUAUUGACGCUGAGGCUCGAAAGCAUGGGGAUCAAACAGGAUUAGAUACCCUGGUAGUCCAUGCUGUAAACGAUGAGUGCUUGUUGUCGGUGUAAAAUCGGUGACGAAGUUAACGCGUUAAGCACUCCGCCUGGGGAGUACGGUCGCAAGAUUAAAACUCAAAGGAAUUGACGGGGACCCGCACAAGCGGUGGAUGAUGUGGAUUAAUUCGAUGCAACGCGAAAAACCUUACCUAGCCUUGACAUGCCAGGAAUCCUGAAGAGAUUCGGGAGUGCCCGCAAGGGAAUCUGGACACAGGUGCUGCAUGGCUGUCGUCAGCUCGUGUCGUGAGAUGUUGGGUUAAGUCCCGCAACGAGCGCAACCC
rnacentral:rRNA from 1 species